rnacentral:rRNA from 1 species
ACUCCUACGGGAGGCAGCAGUGGGGGAUAUUGCACAAUGGAAGAAACUCUGAUGCAGCGACGCCGCGUGAGGGAAGAAGGCCUUCGGGUUGUAAACCUCUGUCUUCGGGGACGAACAAAUGACGGUACCCGAGGAGGAAGCCACGGCUAACUACGUGCCAGCAGCCGCGGUAAU